UACGAAGGGGGCGAGCGUUGUUCGGAUUUACUGGGCGUAAAGGGCGCGCAGGCGGUCUUGAAAGUCAGGCGUGAAAGCCCCGGGCUUAACCUGGGAAUUGCGCUUGAUACUCUGAGACUGGAGUACGGGAGAGGAGAGUGGAAUUCCCAGUGUAGAGGUGAAAUUCGUAGAUAUUGGGAAGAACACCAGUGGCGAAGGCGGCUCUCUGGACCGUAACUGACGCUGAGGCGCGAAAGCGUGGG
rnacentral:rRNA from 1 species